UAUAAUUGGAUUGAGUCUCUGAUCAUUUA
rnacentral:piRNA from 1 species